rnacentral:rRNA from 1 species
CAAUAGCGUAUAUUAAAGUUGUUGCGGUUAAAAAGCUCGUAGUUGGAUUUCUGUUGAGAACGUCCGGUCCGCACUAUGUGCGUGUAUCUGGUUCGGUCUUGGCAUCCUCUUGAGGAACGUAUCUGCGCUUGAUUGCGUGGAGCGGUAUUCAAGACUUUUACUUUGAGGAAAUUAGAGUGUUCACGGCAGGCAAGCGCCUUGAACACGUUAGCAUGGAAUAAUAAUAUAGGAUCUUGGUUCUAUUUUGUUGGUUUCUAGGGCUAAGGUAAUGAUUAAUAGGGAUAAUUGGGGGCAUUUGUAUUAACGCGUCAGAGGUGGAAUUCUUGGAUUGCGUUACGACAAACUACUGCGAAAGCAUUUGCCAAGGAUGUUUUCAUUGA